rnacentral:rRNA from 1 species
UACGUAGGCAGCGAGCGUUGUUCGGAGUUACUGGGCGUAAAGGGUGUGUAGGCGGUUUUCUAAGUUUGGUGUGAAAUCUCCCGGGCUCAACCGGGAGGGUGCGCCGAAAACUGGGAGACUAGAGUGCGGGAUGGGAGAGUAGAAUUCCGUGGUGUAGCGGUGAAAUGCGUAGAUAUCAGGAGGAAUACCGGUGGUGUAGACGGCGUCCGCUCUGGACCGCCACUGACGCUGAGACACGAAAGCGUGGGUAGCAAACAGG